GCCCGCCUAGCUCAAUCGGAUAGAGCGUGAGACUUUUACGAACACUCAGGUGCUUGUGAUCUCAAGGCUGCGGGUUCGACCCCCGCGGUGGGCU